UGAGGAAUAUUGGACAAUGGGUGAGAGCCUGAUCCAGCCAUCCCGCGUGAAGGAUGACGGUCCUAUGGAUUGUAAACUUCUUUUGUACAGGGAUAAACCUACUCUCGUGAGGGUAGCUGAAGGUACUGUACGAAUAAGCACCGGCUAACUCCGUGCCAGCAGCCGCGGUAAUACGGAGGGUGCAAGCGUUAUCCGGAUUUAUUGGGUUUAAAGGGUCCGUAGGCGGACUUGUAAGUCAGUGGUGAAAUCUCAUAGCUUAACUAUGAAACUGCCAUUGAUACUGCAGGUCUUGAGUAAAUUUGUAGUGGCUGGAAUAAGUAGUGUAGCGGUGAAAUGCAUAGAUAUUACUUAGAACACCAAUUGCGAAGGCAGGUCACUAAGAUUUAACUGACGCUGAUGGACGAAAGCGUGGGGAGCGAACA
rnacentral:rRNA from 1 species